rnacentral:misc_RNA from 1 species
UUUCCGUAGGUGAACCUGCGGAAGGAUCAUUACAUUCAGUAGCCCAGCUACUUGUUUACACCCUUGUCUUUUUGCGUACUUAUCGUUUCCUCGGCGGGCUUGCCUGCCGGUUGGACAACUUAAUAACCUUUGAAGAAAUUUUCAAUCAGCGUCUGAACAAUAUACAAUAAUUACAACUUUCAACAACGGAUCUCUUGGUUCUGGCAUCGAUGAAGAACGCAGC